UUUUUUGGCGGCUCGGGCAGGGGGCCGCAAGGCCCCCCGGUUUCCGCGAGGUUCCCCGGUACGCCAACCUGUUCGAGCCGCUGCCCUG
rnacentral:antisense_RNA from 1 species